AUGCAAGAACCUGACCCCAGGGGCUGGGGAGAUCCGGUUGCAACUAGCUGUGCAGACUGGCCGGUGGGUGUUGGAGCAUCGGCCAAGGAUGCAGACAAGCUCAGCACCAUCAGCAGCAGCUCAGGGGACGCAGCAUUGAGCCUUCACGUGGCUGACCGCGUCUGUGUCCCUCCUGUGCCGGCGGCCAUGGAAUCUGAAGAGCAUCUGGGGACUGCUGUGUGUGUGGCUGGGUGUCCAGAGCCUGGCUCUCUGGACAGGAAGCAUCUGUGCUCAGAGGCAGGCUUUCCCCAACUCCUGGGUUCUCCUCUGGAGCUGGCGGCGUGAUUCUGCUGUAGGACGGACGGACGGAAAUCCCCCUCCAAGUGCUGUGAGCCAGGUACUCGCCCAUGAGCUCCUGCGACGCUCUGACGGGGAUUUUAGAGGGAAAAAACACAUGACCUCCUGCCACUGCUAAGGAGACAUGAUUUGGAGUCUAGGUAAUUGCUUUCAGGGGUGUCUUUGAAAAGCUCCUUGCUAUUUGGCUAAUAAUGGUCAAAACAACAAGUUAAACUUCAUCGUGAUAAGAACAUAGAAUGUUCUUCAUAAGAAGCAAUCAAGGCAUAUUACACAAGUCUAUUCAACAGGUAACUCCCUUAGAUAUCUGGGCCUAUAUUUUACUAUUAAC
rnacentral:lncRNA from 1 species